UGCGUAGGCGGCCCGAUAAGUCAGGGGUGAAAUAUGACGGCUUAACCGUCAAACUGCCCCUGAAACUGUCAGGCUUGAGUUCGAGAGAGGUAGGUGGAAUUCCAGGUGUAGCGGUGAAAUGCGUAAAUAUCUGGAGGAACACCGGUGGCGAAGGCGGCUUACUGGCUCGAUACUGACGCUCAGGCACGAAAGCAUGGGGAGCGAACAGGAUUAGAUACCCUGGUAGUC
rnacentral:rRNA from 1 species